GACGAACGCUGGCGGCGUGCCUAAUACAUGCAAGUCGAGCGGACGUUUUUGAAGCUUGCUUUAAAAACGUUAGCGGCGGACGGUGAGUAACACGUGGGCAACCUACCUUAUCGACUGGGAUAACUCCGGGAAACCGGGGCUAAUACCGGAUAACAUCUAGCACCUCCUGGUGCCGGAUUGAAAGAGGGCUUCUUGCUCUCACGAUAAGAUGGGCCCGCGGCGCAUUAGCUAGUUGGAGAGGUAAUGGCUCCCCAAGGCGACGAUGCGUAGCCGACCUGAGAGGGUGAUCGGCCACACUGGGACUGAGACACGGCCCAGACUCCUACGGGAGGCAGCAGUAGGGAAUCUUCCGCAAUGGACGAAAGUCUGACGGAGCAACGCCGCGUGAGUGAUGAAGGGUUUCGGCUCGUAAAGCUCUGUUAUGAGGGAAGAACACGUACCGCUCGAAUAGGGCGGUACCUUGACGGUACCUCAUCAGAAAGCCACGGCUAACUACGUGCCAGCCGCCGCAGUAA
rnacentral:rRNA from 1 species